UGGGGUUAUGUUCUUUACUUUUUGUCUCUUACACCACCUUUUUAGUUUCUGUUCGUUGUCUUCUGGGUAGGGAGUCCACACUGAUUUUUUUCUUCUCAAGAGCCAAUAUUGGAGGCACAAUAUAAGUAUAUCAGCGGCAUGUAGGCAUUGUUAUGUUCCUUUCUGCCUUCCGUCUUCAUUAUUGGGAAAGUCAGAGCCCAACUUAUUUUCGUUUCUCAUUGACCAAAAAGAUGUUUUUUAGUUAUGGGUCAAAGUAACAUUUCGCUUGAUCCAUGAAUGGUUUAAGUAUUUGUU